rnacentral:rRNA from 1 species
UACGAAGGGGGCUAGCGUUGUUCGGAAUCACUGGGCGUAAAGCGCGCGUAGGCGGAUUGUUAAGUCAGGGGUGAAAUGCCGAGGCUCAACCUCGGAACUGCCUUUGAUACUGGCAAUCUUGAGUCCGGGAGAGGUGAGUGGAACUCCUAGUGUAGAGGUGAAAUUCGUAGAUAUUCGCAAGAACACCAGUGGCGAAGGCGGCUCACUGGCCCGGUACUGACGCUGAGGUGCGAAAGCGUGGGGAGCAAACAGG